CUACGGGAGGCAGCAGUGGGGAAUAUUGGACAAUGGGGGGAACCCUGAUCCAGCAAUGCCGCGUGUGUGAAGAAGGUCUUCGGAUUGUAAAGCACUUUCACUAGGGAAGAUGAUGACGGUACCUAGAGAAGAAGCCCCGGCUAACUUCGUGCCAGCAGCCGCGGUAAUACGAAGGGGGCUAGCGUUGCUCGGAAUGACUGGGCGUAAAGGGCGCGUAGGCUGUUUGUACAGUCAGAUGUGAAAUCCCCGGGCUUAACCUGGGAACUGCAUUUGAUACGUGCAGACUAGAGUCCGAGAGAGGGUUGUGGAAUUCCCAGUGUAGAGGUGAAAUUCGUAGAUAUUGGGAAGAACACCGGUUGCGAAGGCGGCAACCUGGCUCGGAACUGACGCUGAGGCGCGAAAGCGUGGGGAGCGAACAGGAUUAGAUACCCUGGUAGUCCACGCUGUAAACGAUGUGUGCUGGAUGUUGGGUGAUUUUAUCAUUCAGUGUCGGAGCUAACGCGUUAAGCACACCGCCUGGGGAGUACGGCCGCAAGGUUGAAACUCAAAGGAAUUGACGGGGGCCNGCACAAGCGGUG
rnacentral:rRNA from 1 species